rnacentral:rRNA from 1 species
AUGGGUAUUUUUAAAUUUCCUGCUUCUAUUUGUGAAGAGCUAUCCCAAAUCAUUAGGAAUUUAUGGUGGGGUGACCAGGAGGAUAGGAAGAAAACUCAUUGGCUGGCGUGGGAUAAGUUGACAAGACCCAAAGGAGAAGGAGGUAUGGGCUUUAGAGAUUUGAGAUUAUUUAAUCAAGCGCUUUUGGCGAAACAGGCUUGGCGUUUGGUCUUUCCGGACUCGUUAUGUGCAAAGGUGAUGAAAGCAAAGUAUUAUCCUCAUGGGCAUUUGCUAGACACUGUAUUCCCUCAGGUGACAUCGACUAGUUGGCAAGGUAUUAUGCAUGGUCUUGAGAUGCUGAAAAAGGGGGUCAUUUGGAGAGUUCGCGACGGUGCAAAUAUAAAUAUAUGGAGAAACAAUUGGCUUCCUAGAGAUUCGGGGCUUCAAAUUUCAGCAAAAAAGAACAGAACCAGACUCAAAUGUGUAUCUGAAUUAUUCAUUAGUGGCUCAACAAGAUGGGAUGAGAACCUUAUUCGGCAUCUGUUCUUUCCACAUGAUGCGGACGAAAUUUUGAAGUUGCGUGUUCUGACUGUCGGUGAGGGAGAUUUCAUUGCUUGGCACUACGGAAAAAAUGGUUUAUUCUCAGUUAAAAGUGCGUAUAAGUUGGCGCUCAAACUUAAGGACUCUAUGAUUGAGGUAGGGAGUUCAAGUGGUGCUGCUAAUGGGGAAAGGAGGCUAUGGAAUAUUAUUUGGAAGGCUCAGGUCCCUCAGAAAAUCAGAAUUUUUGCA